rnacentral:misc_RNA from 1 species
CACAGACACAAUUGGUUCCUGCAACUUCAUCACUGGGACUCUUCUCUGGGUUGGGAACCCAUGGUCCUUAUGGGGUGCCGCCUCCUGUUGACUGGAACAGCGGUGGUGGUACAGUUCUGCACCUAGAUUACAAAAACAUAGACUGGAGUUUAGAUCACGGUUCGUCAUCAUCAGGAACAGGUGGUGUGUGGCGAACAACAAACUCUUUAUUGGAACACUAUGAUCCUAAAUAUGAUUCAUUUUACCGUGGAAUCGCUGCUAAGUCUACUUCAAAACCUGUUCUUACCAAUGAGAUUGGAGUUACGAACCCCGGGUUGCAGGUUGGAGGAUUGAGUGCAG